rnacentral:lncRNA from 1 species
UGGAAUGAAUGCUGGAGGUUCAACCAUUACUUUUGACAUCUCAAAAGCAAGAUGUCAAAUGAAUAUUUUAUUAUUUUUUAAAGACAGCUAGCUGUUACUUUCAUUUAUUAUUUUUCUUUUUUAUUAUUUUCUUCUUUAUCUUAAAUGAUUUGACUGUUACAAUAAUUAUUUAUUUGACAUAUUGAGUGGAGUGUAAAAAUGUGUAAAUGUCAAAUUGUCACAUUAGCCAUCAAAUGUAAAUUUGAUGUUUGGUAUUUGACAUCUCC